rnacentral:miRNA from 1 species
UAAUCUUUCAUAAAUAUGCAUUUGAGGUCAUCUGGAUGGAUGAAAAUCGCCCAAAACACCAUUAGUUGAUUUGGAAAAUUUGUUGAACUAUCUGCUAAAUUGAUGGUUUUAUUGGAGUCGAUUCUUUACUUUUUCUGAUCAACUGAUAAUGUUUUGGACGAUUUCCUUUCAAAUGGAUUCAAGUGCAUAUUUAUGAAAGGUUA